rnacentral:rRNA from 1 species
UACGAAGGGGGCUAGCGUUGUUCGGAAUUACUGGGCGUAAAGCGCACGUAGGCGGAUAUUUAAGUCAGGGGUGAAAUCCCAGAGCUCAACUCUGGAACUGCCUUUGAUACUGGGUAUCUUGAGUAUGGAAGAGGUGAGUGGAAUUCCGAGUGUAGAGGUGAAAUUCGUAGAUAUUCGGAAGAACACCAGUGGCGAAGGCGACUAACUGGACACGUAUUGACGCUGAGGUACGAAAGCGUGGGAGCAAACAGG